rnacentral:rRNA from 1 species
UACGUAGGGCGCAAGCGUUGUCCGGAAUUAUUGGGCGUAAAGAGCUCGUAGGCGGUCUGUCGCGUCUGCCGUGAAAACCCGAGGCUUAACCUCGGGCUGGCGGUGGAUACGGGCAGACUAGAGGUAGGUAGGGGAGAAUGGAAUUCCUGGUGUAGCGGUGAAAUGCGCAGAUAUCAGGAGGAACACCGGUGGCGAAGGCGGGUCUCUGGGCCGAUACUGACGCUGAGGAGCGAAAGCGUGGGGAGCGAACAGG